rnacentral:tRNA from 1 species
GGAGAGGUGGCCGAGCGGUUUAUGGCGGCCGUCUUGAAAACGGCUGGGUGAUGAGCCCCGGGGGUUCGAAUCCCUCCCUCUCCGCCA